rnacentral:rRNA from 1 species
CACUAGUGAUUCUUGGUCAUUUAGAGGAAGUAAAAGUCGUAACAAGGUCUCCGUUGGUGAACCAGCGGAGGGAUCAUUACUGGGUGGCUUCGGCCGUAUACCCCUAACCAUUGUGAACGAAACAGUUGCCUCGCUGGAGGGUUGGUGAAAACCGCCCGCCGGCAGCACAAAACUCUUCUGAUGUUAUCUCUGAGUUGCUUAUAAAUAAGUUAAAACCUUCAACAACGGAUCUCUUGGUUCUGGCAUCGAUGAAGAACGCAGCGAAAUGCGAUAAGUAAUGUGAAUUGCAGAAUUCAGUGAAUCAUCGAAUCUUUGAACGCACAUUGCGCCCGUCAGUAUUCUGGCGGGCAUGCCUGUUCGAGCGUCAUUUCAACCAUCGAGCCCUAGGCUUGUGUUGGGGCACUGCGGCUGCCGCAGGCCCCUAAAAGCAGUGGCGGACUCGCUGUCAUACCGAGCGCAGUAGCAUAUCUCGCUCAGGGCGUGGCGGCGGGCACCGGCCGUAAAACAACUAAAACUUAAGGUUGACCUCGGAUCAGGUAGGAAUACCCGCUGAACUUAAGCAUAUCAAUAAGCG